GGGGUGGUGGUGGUGGUGGUGGUGGUGGUAGAGGGAGUAGUGGUGGAGGUGGUGGUGUUGUCUGCUCUAUGGAACAAUAUAGAAAUGGUCAACCAGCUAGGCAGAGCAGUACAUUCACCAAGUUAGUCCCAGUAAACACAGUAAGAACCAUGCACUGUGAACUAAGUCCAACCUUCAGUUUCAGAAACAGAAUAAUGAAUGCUAAACAAUUUAACCAUCACUUAUUUCUUAUGAAACCAAGACCAGACUAUAGUUGCUUCCAAAUGUAUUAUCAGUGAGAUAAUCUAGCAUUAUUUUGACCACUUUGCAGUCUCUUACAGUCAGCCUAAAUGAUAUUUAUGUAAUAAAUGAAUCAAAUGCACUAUUGACUGUAGAUGUUUUUCUAAAGUACAUCAUUUUCUCGUUGUCAUAGGUUGUGAAAAAAGAUAAUAGCAAAGGAAUAGUUUAAUGUUGGUUUUGAGAUAUUUCGAGAGUGGAUGUGGGCUAUAUAAAUCACCCAUAUUAUCACACAGCUCACGAGAAAGGUACAUUGGAAACAUAACAUAAUCUUUGACAAUACUGAGGUAUAGACCUGUUGGCUCUCCCCUGCCCAUAGAUGGUUGACCUCACUUAUACCUAUGUGUGACUUACAAGCAGACGUUUAGCAUUAGUAUCAUCUUAUGAUACUAUAAAUUGACAUGACUUAAGAACUUUCCAGGAUUUGUUUUCCAACAAUGCCAUGUUUUGUCGGCAGUCCCUCCCUGGCCUUUCUUGUCAUUCUCUCUUUUGUUUGAUUAACUUAUUGUACCAGUGGCUCAUGUCAUUGUGUUCAAUUAAUAGUUAGUUAAAAAGUUGGGAAAACAUGCAAUGCAACCCUGAAAUACGCCCCUGUCGCUGUUGUCCUUGGUUUAUAUACUAUACAGUCAAGAAAGAGUUUAGAAUUUAUGUUUGUAAGAUUACUAUAACAUAAUGUAUUUUUCAGCUAUACAAUAUAUUCACAAGUAUAGAAUUAGUUAGAAUUAAGCCUACAGCUUUUUGUUUGGUGUUUUAACUGUCAUGUUCUUAUAUUUCACGUUUUUACUUAAUUGUAGAGACACAGGAUCAGUUUUGCAGUGUGUUUGAAUCAUCUAUGUGCUUGUGUGUUCCAGGGCUUUAAUUUGCCUAUUUUUCUUGCAACCAUUAUGUACCGGUGCAUUUGUAAAUAGUUUUUAGUUAGUGGGCAAAGGAUAGACAGCCAUUGAGUAAGACAUCGUAGCUUGUCAGAAGCGCCUAUCUUCUCGUUGGACAUGAACCCUCUUUUCAAAUGGGAGAUACUGUACUUUCAGUUGAAGAAAAAAAAUAGGAAAAUAUAACAAACGUAGUGCGAAGACUAAUGUCAGUUACUAGUAUAGCUCUUGUGACUAAGCAGGCUUUUAGAGAAAAACCCAUUCUGUUUAUCUUACAGUUCCUGAUUUACUUUCCUUCAGUGUCCUCACAUUCAUUUUAUUCACUCACCUAGAGUAGUAAUACGUAGUAACUCAGAAACGAACAAUUACCAUGACAGUAAACCUGCUGGCAUACAUUAUACAGAUACAGUCCAACUACAUAAUAUCAGUUGAAUCUAAAGUAUAUAUACACAGUUUUUUAAAUCAAUAUGUUCUUCAUCAACAACUUUAACACAUAUAAUGGAAAGCGUUUGAGAUACAGACAGAAAUGUAACUAUAGGAAUAUGCUUUGAGGGAUAUAAGGAGUAUGCCUAGCUAUCAAGUGCCUAUUUAUACAUUACUAUACUAAAUCUUCAUAAAGUAGUUUUGCUCUCCUACCGUACAUUUUCCAAAUAUAUACAGUAGCUAUAUACACAUGAUAAUCUAUACACAAAUUAUAACAAUAUUUAUACUACUAUAACAGCAAUGUUGGUCACAGUCAUAACACAGUGCAUCCUAAGAAAGCCCUUUAAAAUAUCUUUAUCCUCCUCAAAUCUUCUAUUUAUAUAAGAUAGAUUUGUUAUUAUUUCCUGCUGACAUACUUAGUUUUAUAACUAGUACAUAGGAGAAAACUGCUAAGAUAAACAACUGGAGUUCAUGAACUGUAGUAAAGGUUCGCUUUAAGGGGCCUAGCCAUGAGGCAUUCAACUAACUCUUCUUCAUUAAAACAAUGAGUAAGCAUGUGUAGUAAUAUGAUAUAGUAGCUAGUCCCUAUCUUAAUGUUUGCCAUUACAAAAACACAACAUUGUUUUGUUCGUCUAAAGCUACAGGUAUGUUUCACGAAAGAUUUUGAACAGUUUUGCGUAGUUUGCCCAGGUUUGUAAGCACACCUAAAUUGUCAAGACUUCUGGCUUAUCAGCACCAGCCAUCAUUCUUCUGCCACACUGAAUGUCUAUAAUUACAUUUGGGGGGUUUUUGCUGUUAAAAAUAAUAUAAAUAGUAGUCACUAAACCACUUCUUUUCUUACCUUUCGAUGUUUGUUUUGAUGCAAAAUACCUACCACAAUCAAAUGUUGUCCUUAGACAUAGCCUAGCUGUUCUCUCAUAAUACAGUGAUUAUGAUCUCACAUAAGACAUGCCAGUCAGUUGAGCACAUUCCUUGUGUUUGUUCUCUGGUUGUAGCUCAUAAUGAUGGAUAAAGUGUAUACUAUUGUCUUUGUGCUGGUCGGAAUGUUUCAGACCUAGCAAUCAAUGAUGCUACUCGGUCCCUGCAGCUAGCUACACGUGCGCGCCUACGUUACUGUACUUGAUCAGUGACAUCAGUGCAGUGCUAUAUUUGCUUCAGCUACUACAGCCUACAACAACACAGCAAUAUCAGUUAGAAGUGCAAUCAAGUUUUACAUGAAGAGUACCAAGCAUUUGUCUGAGUGCUAGCUGUAAUUAAAAGUGUCCUUGUAAGCAAGAAUCAGACCGCUAGCAGUCUUGUCAUAAUCUAUCGUUUUAUGAGAGUGUUACUCUACAAUAUGAUUUGGAAUCAAUAUUCACCAAUUGUGUGUCUCUACCUUGAAUUGAUAAGGAAAGUUAGUGUCAUAAAUGAUUAGGACCCAAUACCCGCAGCAUAUCUGAAAUAUGCACAUUCCUGUAAUGUCCAGAACAUUCCUGUCCCUAGUCUGGCCUCACUCUACGAGAUUAUGUUGUCGAUUAUUUCAGACUCAGUAACAAAUGAUGUGACCCCAACAGCCUUACUAGGACAAUAAAUCAAUGACUUUCUUUUCAUUACUUGCUGGUCUGCUCUGCUGGUUCUUUUGUCAUGUGACAUUUACCCCUCUAUGUUGGUUUACGUUUAGUUGAAUCUCCACAAUAAUCAUCCUCACAUUUAUGUUUAUUAUAGUGUCACUGGCUUGCUAAACUGUAUAUGAUUGCAGAUGCGUCUCAGAAAAGCACUGCUUAGCAUCUCUGGCAUUGAUGGUCCCAUCAUUGGAUUUUGUUUAGCUUCUAACCAUAGUGCAGAAUACGCCCCUGCAUAAAGGAAAAUGGCCUGCUUGCUACCAUGGUGUGUUCUUCUGGAACAUGGUGUGUCCUUCUACCUAUCGGAUUGUGUUCCAUAUGCAAUAUAUCUCAAACUCUCCCUUAAAUGUUGUCUCUUAGUUUACGGAGAAUACUGAGUCAUCUAGAAGAUGUGGAGUUUGAAAGGUGCUGAAUAAAAGAGCCUCAACAGUAGCUUGCUUAGCACCUUGAAUAAUUGUCUUGGGGCUUUCAGCAGGUCUCUUGCACUUCUCACAUGUCCAAAAUAUAAUUUAUGUCUAUGGUGAGACUAAGCAACAUGCACUGCACUGUAUUACCCAUAUGUUUUUCUACGUUUGUCUCUCUUUUACCUAAUAGGUUUGGUGAACAUAUUUCUGCCCACUUUCUGCCGUGUACCAGACAUACUUGUGGUCUCAAUCAGCAUGCAAUCAUAUAUAAUUAGUUUGGACAUGCAGAGCUUCCAUUACAAUACGUUGCUUGGUGUUGUUAAAGGUGCCGGUGGUAGUAAUGAUUUGUUGUGAUAUGAAACCAAACCAUCAGGGGGCUAUUGAACAUGUUGGAUGACAUAUGCUUGUUUCCGUAAACACCAAAGAAUGAUAAUAAUAUCACAGUGUCUGAAUUUCAAGCAGAAAGAACAUUAUCUGUUGUGUAAGCGAUAACAAAGACUACCAAGAUGUACGUUCCUAUAAAUUUGUAUGUGUUCAAAUCUGGCAAGAUGGCUAAAAUUAUAUUUUCUUUGAUACUCAAGACAGGGUGCUUGUGAAAAUGCUUUUCUGCGUUUUGUCCUCUGAUCGCUAUUGGUAGACUGUAGUUUAAUUGUUGUGUUAAUGUGCCUACUGUAGACCAAAAUAGCUUUUCUAAAGAAAUUCAGCAAAAUAUAAAAAGAAACCUGACACGUAGUAGUUGUUGUAGAACUAUAGCAUGUUAUAACAUGAAUAAGAUUGUAAAUGUUGCAUUGUUCCUCUGCUUAAAAUUAAUACUCAAUAUCCAUUAGUUAUUUUUUCUACACACACUUAGCAAAUUGAUUUAGGCCUUUCCAAUACACAUUUGAUUUUGUUUGAUUGAUCCGUUUAUCUUUGUUUAAUCCGUUUGUCUGUUAUUCCAGUUUUCAGUCAUUGAUUUCUUCCUUCCGUCUUGUUGAUUUCAAAGCUUUUAUUCUCUGAUAAACUAAAUGCACUGGAUUAGUGGAGAACGGAUACUAAAUUGACAUGCCAUGCACAAUGUAUCUGUUUGUCUGACUAAUAUUCUAAAGACAUCUGUCUCAAAAUGUUAUUCAAACAUAUAGUGGAAGAUCCAUACUGAAUUUAGACUGUUUUUUCAAACUUUGAGGUGGACCAAAAUAUGAGUUGCUUUUGCACAUCCUUGUUCUGCAAUGUGUUGAUGCCAUUGAGUAAAAGAGUAGGAAGAUUAAACUUGCCGCUGCCCAGAACAACCGAACCAAGCAACACAAAGAGGCCUAAAUCUGAUUUAAGGGCAAAUGAUUUAUCCCACAAUACGAUAUUAUAACAUUUUGAUGGCUUACCUAGAGCCUGCUACAGAUACAUUUCCCCCAGAGAGCUUUAAACUCAAAAGCCAGCUGACAUUUGAUGAAUAAUUAAGGCAAAAACAACAAAACAGUGUAAAGAUAUUACUAUUAAUUGAGUUGUAUUAACAUCUUGAUGAGUUGGACCAAAUUUCUUAUCAGUUGGUAGCAUACAGUACAUGAUGUUGAUUACUACAUUAUAUAUUUGUUGUAAUAUGAAUUGUUCAUAUCAAAGAAAAAUGUAAACCGUUGGAAAAUAUGUAUGAGUAAAAUGUCACUUAUUGUGGAGGUAUGACAUCCUUUGUAUGAGUAAAAUGUCACUUAUUGUGGAGGUAUGACAUAAUUUGAAAGUUUUUUUCAAGCUGGAUGUUUGAAAUAUGAUUAGUUAUUUGGGUCAUGCUUCUUUAGUGUGGUAGUUGAAUGAAGUCAGUGUCUACAUUGGUCAUUGUAAGAUCCACUCAGUGAUGAAUCAGAAAGUCAGUAUGCUCCCACAGUACAUGUGUAGAUUUAUGUUACAGAAAGCUUCGGUUUUUAAUCAGAUAUUCAAGCUUUUUUUCUGCCAUCUUAAAGCUGUUUAUUUAACAAAUGUACCUGCAGUGAAAAAUAAGUUGCACUUACACAUAUAUAUAUAUAUAUAUAUAUAUAUAUAUAUAUAUAUAUAUAUAUAUAUAUAUAUAUAUAUAUAUGUGUGUGUGUGUGUGUAUGAACAUGUUUUUAAUUAAGAAUCUUUUGUUAGGUUUUGUUGCCUGCUUUGGCUUCUGAUUUCUUUAUCUUCCUGAUCAAAUACUCCUUAUAUAUUAGAAUAAUAAACUUGGCAGAAGUGGAGCUGUUGUAGUAAAGGUAUAUAACAUCACAAAUAAGCAACCCUGACUUAUAUGCUGCAGUAAUGUUGUUUUUUCAGUUUGUUUUCUUUUAUGUGUGCUCUAAGUUGGUUGGUAUUUUUAUUACUGUUAUGAAACAACCUUGUUUGAAUUGUAAGACUGCUGUUUUGAAAUAGGUGAUGAGUUUUUUUUAUGUAUGUAGGUAGGCUACAAGGAAGUGUCAUACUUUGACUUGUCAAACACUGGACUGGAGUGAGUUUUCCAACAUUUCCAAGUUGAGAGCUACUAUAUGAGACAUGAACCGACUGCACAGAAUAAAGCCUUAUCGCACCCAUUACCUGACAGACAGAGAGGGUCCAACCUGCUACAGAAGGAAUAGUGACUUCUCUGAUUGGAAAUUAUAUUUCCACCAUUUAAUAGAUAAGGUGCUGAAAUAUAUCUGCCAAAAUGUUGCAUUUGUCAGGCUUAUAAAAUCUGGCCAUCAUAAUUUUACAAUAAUGAUUUCAAAAUUCCCUGUUCUAACAAAAUAAGUAAAUGCUAAAAUAUCAAAAGGGAUACCACUUAAUAGCAAUUCAUUAAUCAAAAGAAACCACUUGGUAUAUGUUGUCUUACUAUGUCAAUCAAACAUAUAGAUUGAACCCUGUAGUGAUCUUAAUGUCAGAGUCUUUUUUAGAGCCAACUACCACUUAUCAAACCAGAAAAGAGAUUUGCACUAAACAUAUUUUGGUCUUCGUUGAUGGAAAGCAAUAUGACACAGAACAAUUGACACAUUCUUCAAGCCACAGUAUCUCAAAUAAGAGAGCUGUCUGUGCACAGGGGUAAUGCUGUGUAAAAGGUGAUAUUUGAAAGGUUUGUUGGGGGAAAAAACUGUGUAAAGGUACAGAAUGGAAACUUGUUGUCUUUGAGACGCACAUUAUAAACUUGGACACGCACACAUUGUUGUUCAGAGUUGACAUAUUUGACCAAUCAGAAGUGUCCGAGUCUGAGGUGCAUAGUUUCCUCUUGUGAUUGUUUUGGAGAAAAUGAAACGGCUCUUACUAGCCCUAAAUGAGGGACGGGAAGGAGAGGAGAGCUACAACAUAUCCCAUAAACAUGCAAUCAUUGUAAAAUGUCCUCAUCAAAAAGAUAACUGAACAAAAGGUAAAAAAGGUUUAUGUUACGUAGAAACAUUUUUUUCCCAAAUGAUUCCAACAUAAGACAUUAAACUUCCUCCAUGUUAAAACAUACAGUUUUCUUCACUGAUUUACUCAUUUUUGUUUUAAAACACUCAUAUGAUCUGUAAAGAUUCGAGGUCAGUUCAAGGUCAUUUUUCUGGGAAAUGAUUGAUUAAAAAUAUUUAUGAAAAAAAGACUACAACAUUUGUGUCGUAAAACACUGAUGGAUGGGAAAUGCAACUUUCCUUGUCAAUUGUAACAUCAGUUUCGCCAUCCAAAGAAUCAAAGCCCACCCACAUAUAUUGUAAUUCAUAAUUAUCCAUAAGAAAAUAGACAGAGUAGUGAGGUGAAAUAUUGUUGACGCCUAAAUGUUCUUUAUUGAGAAUUUUAAAUCAUCAAUCAUUUAUGAUAGCAAUCAUGACAACUAUGAUUUUUGGUAUCUGGAAAUAUUAGCUUUCCUGUUAUUAGGCCUACCGUUUUGUGGUGCUGCAGUUUGUCUAAAUAUGUUGCGUGUUAGAGGAAGCAUAAGUAUGUGCCUUCUUGUAAUCUCCUUGGUGAGCUUGUUAUUAUUGAGAAGCUUAAGCCAGCCAAUUGUGUUUGCACUAAAACCAAAUUGCUUUUGUGAUGUAGGCUAUUUAAAGCAAGCUUGUUGCGUCACUUUAACCGUACAGUAUGCAUGAGGGUGAAAUUGGUAAGUGAUAGGGCUAGAGCUCCCAUCUGUUGAACUAGUGCAGCUUAGGGAAUCCCCUGAACAUAUCAGCUUUGUACUGCGUUCAGUUUUUGAUUCCAUCUCAUUCAUUACUCUUCUAAAUUAUCACAGACACAUGUUCCACAGUAAAUAGUCUCUGUGGAAUAUCCACACUCUAAAAGAUAAGUAAAUAACAUAAGAAAUCAAAUACAGCUCUCCUUUUAUAUUUGUUUCAUAUGCCACAGCUGAACAGCUGCAUUACUGUAGUAAGAGAUAUUCAACCAUUCUCUCAGCCCAUGGAGGUGCAUGAUUACAAGAGGUCGCCACGAGACUUGGUCAACGUUAUUUUUAUGUUUUGUGAAAGUUUCUGUUUCUAAGUUAUUUGUGUUUGUUUAAAUCUAAGAGAAAGACCUACAGUACAUGCUUUGAGUCUUACAAAUGCACCUUAUUCAUGUCAGUCUGAGUGGAAAAGACUGGCUAUGUAAUAUCUCUGGUUUAACACCUUACUACACAGCAUGUUUUCACUUUAUGACAGUUUUGCUAUUCUUCCGUGCAUAUGAUUUCCAAAAUAAACCUUAUAUAUUUUGUGAAAAUGUUUAAAGGGAUGUGCCAAAGUUUGGAGGCGAUCUCCCAAGUUUUUAUGCUAAUAAAUUUGUUCUUUCUUCCUCCUUCAGUUAUCACAAUGGUAUGUCAGACCUUUCCUAUCAAUGUGUGAAAGCAAGUUAUUUCAGCAAACAGUAUCAUUACCUGCCAUUUUACAGCAAGCCCUGUAUUUCACGUAUAUUUACCAGUGAUGUGUAUUUGUUAUUAUAAAGAAAAAUAGCCGUAAAGCUUCAUUAUGUUACAUAAUAUUGUGACUUUUUUCGAAAAACUGUGAAGACUUAUCUUGCAUAUACUUUAUACAGAAGUAUUAAGCCUUAAUACAAAAGACUAAAAAAAGUGAGGAAGAAUAAACUGAUUGUUGCUAAGUAAGGAUGAUUUUUUGUAAAUGUUACCAGCACUUUUUUUGUAAUUUUCACUCUGAGGUAUUGUACAAGUUCACGCUGUUUGUGAAGUUUGAUUAUGAAGGAAUAAAAACUAGUACUUUCCUGUACUUCACAGAAAGUAAUGUUGUGUUUUUAUUUCAUUAAA
ensembl:lncRNA